CAGCCGCCGCGGUAAUACGUAGGUGGCAAGCGUUGUCCGGAAUUAUUGGGCGUAAAGGGCUCGCAGGCGGUUUCUUAAGUCUGAUGUGAAAGCCCCCGGCUCAACCGGGGAGGGUCAUUGGAAACUGGGAAACUUGAGUGCAGAAGAGGAGAGUGGAAUUCCACGUGUAGCGGUGAAAUGCGUAGAGAUGUGGAGGAACACCAGUGGCGAAGGCGACUCUCUGGUCUGUAACUGACGCUGAGGAGCGAAAGCGUGGGGAGCGAACAGGAUUAGAUACCCCUGUAGUCCCUGUCUCUUAUAU
rnacentral:rRNA from 1 species